GAAAUGCGAUAAGUAAUGUGAAUUGCAGAAUUCAGUGAAUCAUCGAAUCUUUGAACGCACAUUGCGCCCGCUAGUAUUCUGGCGGGCAUGCCUGUCUGAGCGUCAUUUCAACCCUCAUUCCCGGCUUCGUGUCGGGGAUGGUGUUGGGGAUCGGCCUCCCGGUUGCGGGCGGCCGGCCCCGAAAUAGAGUGGCGACCACGCCGUAGCCUCCUCUGCGUAGUAGUGAAAACCUCGCAGGCGGAGAGCGGUGCGGCCUGCCGUAAAACCCCCAACUCUUCUAAGGUUGACCUCAGAUCAGGUAGGAAUACCCGCUGAACUUAAGC
rnacentral:misc_RNA from 1 species